AUUGAACGCUGGCGGCAGGCUUAACACAUGCAAGUCGAGCGGGGGAGGUUGCUUCGGUAACUGACCUAGCGGCGGACGGGUGAGUAAUGCUUAGGAAUCUGCCUAUUAGUGGGGGACAACAUCUCGAAAGGGAUGCUAAUACCGCAUACGUCCUACGGGAGAAAGCAGGGGACCUUCGGACCUUGCGCUAAUAGAUGAGCCUAAGUCGGAUUAGCUAGUUGGUGGGGUAAAGGCCUACCAAGGCGACGAUCUGUAGCGGGUCUGAGAGGAUGAUCCGCCACACUGGGACUGAGACACGGCCCAGACUCCUACGGGAGGCAGCAGUGGGGAAUAUUGGACAAUGGGGGGAACCCUGAUCCAGCCAUGCCGCGUGUGUGAAGAAGGCCUUUUGGUUGUAAAGCACUUUAAGCGAGGAGGAGGCUACCGGUAUUAAUACUACCGGAUAGUGGACGUUACUCGCAGAAUAAGCACCGGCUAACUCUGUGCCAGCCGCCGCAGUAAGAC
rnacentral:rRNA from 1 species